AGAGUUUGAUCCUGGCUCAGAAUCAACGCUGGCGGCGUGCCUAACACAUGCAAGUCGAACGAGAAAGUGGAGCAAUCCAUGAGUAAAGUGGCGACCGGGUGAGUAACACGUGACUAACCUGCCUUGAGUGGGGGAUAACCUCGGGAAACCGGGGCUAAUACCGCAUAACAUCGCAAGAUCAAAGGAGCAAUCCGCUGAAG
rnacentral:rRNA from 1 species